GUCUAUGGCCAUACUACUCAGAGUGUGCCCAAUCUUGUUUGAUCUUGGAAGCCAAGCAGGGUUGGGCCAAGUUAGUACUUGGAUGGGAGAAAACUCUCCCUGAAGCAGACGUUGUAGCUG
rnacentral:rRNA from 1 species